AGCCAUUUCUUCCCUAUCUUUCUUGUUCUUGACCUCUCUCAACGUCUCUCUAUAUCUUUCUCAAUUUCUCCUAUACACCUCUCUAGCUCAAUCUCUCUCUCGGUAUACACUCAACACCACCACCAUAAACCACCAUUCCACCACCCCUUGUUGCCGCUGCUUUGAAACUAAAUUAUCUCAGAGAUUCAUAUUCACGGCAUUACAACUCGGUUAUUCUCGCACCUCUUACUCACCAGUCAUGCUUUAAGGUGAGUGUUAUGGCCCCACUUUUACAUAUUUUCGGGGGGAAUACAUGUAGUACUUGUAUAUCUAGUAUAUAUCUAUUUUCUAUAUACUUUGUUUAAACAAACAACACCACCGUUUUUAUGCAAUAUAAAUCACACAAAAAUAGUAUUUAUUCUGCUACUACUUACGGUACGGGGAAUCUAGUUUGAAGGGCCGCAUGGGUUAUUGGAUUUCAGAACAGCUUAAUUGCCAAAAUGAUCUUUCCCUCGGUGUUUCAUGUCUGGCCCUCAUCUGUGCAUGGUAGUAUGUGUACUAAGUAAUAUUUAUCAUACAAAAUACACAAAAAAAUCCUUGUUUUGUGUAAAUACUUUACCAGUUUUAGAAAUAAUUGUUUAAACGCUUACAUGUUAAGUAAACAAAAUCGUUUUAAACCUCAAUAACUUUAUAUGUUAUGUUGUUAAGAUAAUACAACUAAUAAAAAUAACAUAUACGUUCCGACAAAAAUUGUGCUAUGAUUGUAUAGCCGGUUACCAACUUGGUAGUCUAAUUAUACCUCAUACAUGCACAUAUAUAUAAGUUUAUAUGUUUAUACGAGUUAUAGAGCUCGUAUCUUAGGCUCGUUUAUGUGCUUGUACUCAAAUUGUUACCAACUGUUUAAACAAGUAUCGUACUCUUCAGUGUGUAUGCUUAUCAAAUAUACUUUUCAACUAUCUGUUUAUCCGUAUCUGCGGUUGUUAAGUACAACCUUGGUAGAUAACUUUAUCCAUAUAUCUGUAUGUCUAUUUAUCCGUAUAUGUGGUUGUUAAAUACAACCUUGACAGAUAACCUUAUCCGUAUGUUUGUUCAUAUGUUAUCCGUACCAUUCCGUUACUAUAAACUUAACUAGAUGUUUAUUACCUAGAAACCAUAGUUUAUAUGUAUAUAUGUACAAAUUCCUUACUAUAAAUUGGACUAGACUUUUAUUACCUAGCAACCAUGGUUUAUAUUUCUAUCUUUAUCAAACAUUCUUCCAAACACAGUUUUCUUACAAAGGCAAUACUUUUUAGACUUUUUAAAAAGCGGUUAAGCAGAAACCAUGUAACACUCACCAACCUUUGUGUUGACCAUCAAACUUACAUGUAUUCUCAGGGGAUCCUUAGACAAGCUUUCAGAUUGAAGAUUUGUCGUGGAUUCUAGACGACUUAGCUAUCUAGUUUUUGGUUAUCUGCUUACUUUUUUAAGGAAACUACUAUCUAUUAUCACUUGUAAGAACCUUGUAUUCAAACCUUAAUGAUGGAAUAUAAAUGAUGUUUUGUUUAUCGGUGUACUUGUGCUAUAUAUUCAGUUUAUCUGUGAUCCUUGAACUUAGUCGCACUCCCGGCAUGUUUCGCCUUGGCCGAGGGUGUGACAGCAUAAGACAACUUUUGGGUUCUCAAGGACCGCUCACUAUGAAAAAUCCCGAAACUAACAAAGAGUUUAUAGAAGAGUUCGCAAUCGCACAAAUACCACAAUCCUAGAGAUGACGUCACACGAAAAAAAUCAACCGAUGAAGGAUCUUUGGAUAACCUAGCUGCAAUAAUCGCUAAACUUGAC
rnacentral:lncRNA from 1 species